GCCUUCAGGUUCGGGACAACCACUGGAAACGGUGGCUAAUACCGAAUGUGCAGCAAUGUGAAAAAUUUAUUGCCUGGAGAUGAGCUCGCGUCUGAUUAGCUAGUAGGUGUGGUAAGAGCGCACCUAGGCGACGAUCAGUAGCUGGUCUGAGAGGAUGAUCAGCCACACUGGGACUGAGACACGGCCCAGACUCCUACGGGAGGCAGCAGUGGGGAAUUUUCCGCAAUGGGCGAAAGCCUGACGGAGCAAUACCGCGUGAGGGAGGAAGGCUCUUGGGUUGUAAACCUCUUUUCUCAGGGAAGAAAAAAAUGACGGUACCUGAGGAAUAAGCAUCGGCUAACUCCGUGCCAGCAGCCGCGGUAAUACGGAGGAUGCAAGCGUUAUCCGGAAUGAUUGGGCGUAAAGCGUCCGCAGGUGGCUGCGUAAGUCUGCUGUUAAAGAAUCUGGCUCAACCAGAUAAAGGCAGUGGAAACUACAUGGCUAGAGUGCGUUCGGGGCAGAGGGAAUUCCUGGUGUAGCGGUGAAAUGCGUAGAGAUCAGGAAGAACACCGGUGGCGAAAGCGCUCUGCUAGGCCGCAACUGACACUGAGGGACGAAAGCUAGGGGAGCGAAUGGGAUUAGAUACCCCAGUAG
rnacentral:rRNA from 1 species